rnacentral:rRNA from 1 species
UUCGGAAUUACUGGGUGUAAAGGUUCGUAGGCGGUGUGGGCAAGUUGGGAGUGAAAUCUCUGGGCUCAACCCAGAGACGGCUUCCAAAACUGCCGUGCUUGAGUGUGAGAGAGGCUCGUGGAAUUGCAGGUGUAGCGGUGAAAUGCGUAGAUAUCUGCAGGAACACCCGUGGCGAAAGCGGCGAGCUGGAUCACUACUGACGCUGAAGAACGAAAGCUAGGGGAGCAAACAGGAUUAGAUANCCCUGGUAGUCCUAGCCCUAAACGAUCAGGACUUGGGGUGCCACCCGUUCGGGUGGCGUCCCGGAGCUAACGCGUUAAGUCCUGCACCUGGGGAGUACGGUCGCAAGACUGAAACUCAAAGGAAUUGACGGGGGCCCGCACAAGCGGUGGAACAUGUGGUUCAAUUCGACGCUACGCGAGGAACCUUACCUGGGCUCGAAAUGCUAGUGACCAGCUUUAGAAAUAUCGCCUUCCCGCAAGGGACACUAGUAUAGGCGCUGCA